rnacentral:lncRNA from 1 species
GAAACAUGCCAAUCCAGCCCCGAAUGACGGACAGGGCACGUUGGCUUCUGAUGGGGUAAUUUGCCAGAGCUUCAAACUGCUGUAUAUCACAGAUGGCAGCAAAGUUAGCAGACGGGAGCGGAGAGAGAGAAGGAUGCCGUUCGGAAAGGAAAGAGGCAACGGGGUUGCGGAGGAUCAAAGUCCAUCGGUCCUUAGGCUCAGAAGAUGCUCCGCUAGUUUCUGAAUCCUCUGUGGUUCNGCAGCCAAGACUUGGGCUUGGAUUAUUACUUCUCUGGGACCCAGCAACUGAUCGUGCUUAUUUUGACCACAUGCUUCUCUUCUCCUUUGGAUUAAUCACCAUCUUUCUAGAGUUUACAGACAGGAGACAGAGAGAGGAGAGAGGCAGAGAAAUGCAGCAGAGUGAUCCAGGCUGCCCUGCCAUUCUGGCUGCAUCCACACGGCCGUGAUCUGGACCAUCUCGGGGGCAGAACACAUGGGUUCCCUCUUUUGAGGAGUUCUGUGAUUCAACGGCCAGGAAUAGGGCAUCNUCAGUGGUGGGCCCCCAACUGUGGGACAGCCUUCCCAAUGAGAUUUGAAAAACAGCCACGUCUGAUUUAUAUCUUCUUUUGCAGGUCUUCAAGGAGUAGCUUAGGACCCAGUAUUUUGAUUUUUCUGAAGUCGCUGUGUACCUAGACUCCCCCCCCCCUUGCUUUUACUUUUACAUGUUAUAUUUGCAUUUUUUAAAAAAAUCUAUUUUUAUCUUCUAUUUUUGUUUCAUUUGGUUGUGUGUUUUUUUAAACUAUACACAGCCCUGAGUCUGUGGUACUGGUC